AGCGAACGCUGGCGGCAGGCCUAACACAUGCAAGUCGAACGAACCUUUCGGGGUUAGUGGCGGACGGGUGAGUAACACGUGGGAACGUGCCUUUAGGUUCGGAAUAACUCAGGGAAACUUGUGCUAAUACCGAAUGUGCCCUUCGGGGGAAAGAUCUAUCGCCUUUAGAGCGGCCCGCGUCUGAUUAGCUAGUUGGAUGAGGUAAUGGCUCACCAAGGCGACGAUCAGUAGCUGGUCUGAGAGGAUGAUCAGCCACAUUGGGACUGAGACACGGCCCAAACUCCUACGGGAGGCAGCAGUGGGGAAUCUUGCGCAAUGGGCGAAAGCCUGACGCAGCCAUGCCGCGUGAAUGAUGAAGGUCUUAGGAUUGUAAAAUUCUUUCACCGGGGACGAUAAUGACGGUACCCGGAGAAGAAGCCCCGGCUAACUUCGUG
rnacentral:rRNA from 1 species